rnacentral:lncRNA from 1 species
CGACUGAAUUUUGUUCCCAUUGAGAUAGAUACACACAUAUAGAUAUAAUUUAGUGAUGAAGUUGCGGUGCUUUUGGUGUUUGAUGAUGCUACGUUUUUGGUAGUGGUGAUGUUGGUGAUGAGGUGUCAACGAUGGUAGUGCAAUGGUAGCGGCAGAGGCAGAGGCGAAGUCACCCACCAUCGCGUCUUCACAGAUCCGCUGUUUACACCUCCUGCUAAAUUAGUGAUUUUCGUCUUGCAAAUUAAUGAUUUGUGCUAUAUAAAUUAGUGAUUGUCACUUUAGAAAUUGGUGAAACAUCGGGUACAGAACAGAACCUGGUGACAAUGACGACGGGAUGUACCCGUGUCUCCGGGCGAUGGAUGUGAGGCUGGAGGCGACGGAGGUGAGGCUGGAGGUGAUGAAGGUGAGGUUGGAGUGGACGGUGGAGGUUGGAGUGGAUUUGGUGGUGAUAGAAAUAAUGGAG